CGUCCCCCGCCGCCACGCCUCGAGCCGCCGCCUCGCGCCUCCGCCGCCUCGCCCGUCCUCCUCUCCGUCCCUCUCCCUCACGUGUGUGUCAGCCGGCGACGCUCCAUCUCCUUCCCCACUCUUCCUUGCCGGUAGGAGGAAGAUGACGCGGGAGCAGCACCUUCUCCGCCGGCGACGCUCCAUCUCCGCCGCCGCGGGAGGAGCAGGUGUGUGCGCCGCGGGUGGAGGCGGCGCUGCCGGUGGUUUCGCGGGCGCGCAGGGGUGGCGCCGCCGGUGGAAGCGCGAGCACGCGGGAGCAGCGCCGCCACGGCUACCGACGGAGGAUCACCGCUGUGUCGUGGGCGCGCGGGAGCGGCGCCGCCGGUAGAGGCGCGAGCACGAGGGAGCAGAACCGGCACUGCAGGUAGCAGAGAAGAUACGUGACUUGAAGUUGAUAUUUGGCAUGAUGGCAUCGACACUUGAGUGCCGAGCUUUCUAAUUAUCUUUGAGCAUGGAGGAAGACGAAUCGAC